GUCGACUGCCAUCCAGCCGGUCAGAGACGCGGGGCCCGCGGGCUGGGUGGAAUUAAAUCCAUCUGAAUUCAGUGCAUGUCCUGUCUCGGUUAGAAGAAGAUUACUGAUGAUACUUUUCUGAAGCUGCUGAGUUCAUGAAUCAUUUCCCUUCCGCAACCAAGUAUCUCCAAGGAUGGAGGUGUGGCAACCUAUAGCUGAUGCUACAUAUCUUCUGGCAUCAUUCUCCACUGCAGAGCUGCAUCUCUGAAAUCCAAUUCAUUUCAAGGAAUGGACUGAUACCUUAGGAAUCGGAGAACUCGGCCUUCUGCAG